CCAGCUCUCCGAGUGGUGGGGAUGUUAUUGGGCCUAAAGCAUCCGUAGCCGGCUGGGCAAGUCCCCUGUUAAAUCCAGCGAUUUAAUCGUUGGAUUGCGGAGGAUACUGUCCGGCUUGGGGGCGAGAGAGGCCGACGGUAUUUCCGGGGUAGGGGUGAAAUCCUAUAAUCCCGGAAGGACCACCAGUGGCGAAGGCUGUCGGCUAGAACGCGCCCGACGGUGAGGGAUGAAAGCUGGGGGAGCGAACCGGAUUAGAUACCCGGGUAGUCCCAGCUGUAAACGAUGCAGGCUAGGUGUUAGGGCGGCCACGUGCCGCUCUAGUGCCGCAGGGAAGCUGUUAAGCCUGCCGCCUGGGGAGUACGGCCGCAAGGCUGAAACUUAAAGGAAUUGGCGGGGGAGCACCACAAGGGGUGAAGCUUGCGGUUUAAUUGGAGUCAACGCCGGAAAUCUCACCGGGGGCGACAGCAGGAUGAAAGCCAGAUUAAAGGUCUUGCCAGACGAGCUGAGAGGAGGUGCAUGGCCGUCGCCAGUUCGUGCCGUGAGGUGUCCUGUUAAGUCAGGCAACGAUCGAGACCCGCAUCCCCCGUUGCUAUUGGCGAACAGCCA
rnacentral:rRNA from 1 species